CCUACGGGUGGCAGCAGUGAGGAAUAUUGGUCAAUGGACGAGAGUCUGAACCAGCCAAGUAGCGUGAAGGAUGACUGCCCUAUGGGUUGUAAACUUCUUUUAUAUGGGAAUAAAACGUUCCACGUGUGGGAUUUUGUAUGUACCAUAUGAAUAAGGAUCGGCUAACUCCGUGCCAGCAGCCGCGGUAAUACGGAGGAUCCGAGCGUUAUCCGGAUUUAUUGGGUUUAAAGGGAGCGUAGGUGGAUUGUUAAGUCAGUUGUGAAAGUUUGCGGCUCAACCGUAAAAUUGCAGUUGAGACUGGCAGUCUUGAGUACAGUAGAGGUGGGCGGAAUUCGUGGUGUAGCGGUGAAAUGCUUAGAUAUCACGAAGAACUCCGAUUGCGAAGGCAGUUCACUGAACUGCAACUGACACUGAGGCUCGAAAGUGUGGGUAUCAAACAGGAUUAGAUACCCCAGUAGUC
rnacentral:rRNA from 1 species